rnacentral:tRNA from 1 species
CCCCGUUCGUCUAGUGGCCCAGGACACCGGCUGUUCAAGCCGGCAACAGGGGUUCGAAUCCCUUACGGGGAA